rnacentral:rRNA from 1 species
CCCUUAGAUGUUCUGGGCCGCACGCGCGCUACACUGAUGCAUUCAACAAGCCUAGCCUUGAUCGAGAGGUCCGGGUAAUCUUUGAAACUGCAUCGUGAUGGGGCUAGAUUAUUGCAAUUAUUAAUCUUCAACGAGGAAUGCCUAGUAAGCGUGAUUCAUCAAAUCGCGUUGAUUACGUCCCUGCCCUUUGUACACACCGCCCGUCGCUCCUACCGAUUGAAUGUGUUGGUGAGGAGCUCGGAUUGGCAGCAGUUGGUGGUUCGCCACCGGCUAUUGCUGAGAAGUCCUCCAAACCGCCCCAUUUAGAGGAAGGAGAAGUCGUAACA